ensembl:snRNA U6 U6 spliceosomal RNA
GUGCUCAGUUUGGCAGUACAUAUUUUAAAAUUGGAAUGAUACAGAGAUUAGCACGGCCCCUGCGCAAGGAUGACAUGCAAAUUUGUGAAGCAUUUAAUGGUUUU